UAUUAUACUGGUAAAUAUAAGUAAACCUGAAUUAUUAAUAGAUAUCUUCUUUAAAUUUGAAGAAUUUGGCGGUGGUUUAAUCUUGUUAGAGGAACCUGUUUUUGAAUCGAUACACCACGUAAUAUCUUACUUAUUUUAUUUAGUUUAUAUACCGUCAUUAUCGGAUAAUUUUUAAAGAAUAGAAUUAUUGGAGUUUAAGUAAAAUGCAAACUAAAUUAGAUCAAGGUGUAGCUUAUAAAUAAGUUGGAAUGGGUUACAAUAAAAUUUAUUUACACGGAAUGAUUGUUAAGAAGUAAUAUCACGAAGGAGGAUUUAAUUGUAAUUGGAGUUUAAUAAGCUUUAAAGAUAUAGGCUCUAAAUCAU
rnacentral:rRNA from 1 species